UUACGGUCAAAUCACGCUGAAAACACCGGUUCUCGUUCGAUCACCGAAGUCGUAAGCAUCGUAGAGCCAGGUCAGUACUUAGAUGGGGGGUUACCGCUUGGGAACACCUGGUACUGUAAG